rnacentral:sRNA from 1 species
CUUUUGCGUUAGGGAUAGAGGCGGUAUCCUUUUAUGAAAUGAAAUGGAAUAAAAGAUAUAGCCGAAAGCCCGACCGCGG